rnacentral:rRNA from 1 species
GAUGAACGCUGGCGGCGUGCCUAAUACAUGCAAGUCGAGCGAACAGACGAGGAGCUUGCUCCUCUGACGUUAGCGGCGGACGGGUGAGUAACACGUGGAUAACCUACCUAUAAGACUGGGAUAACUUCGGGAAACCGGAGCUAAUACCGGAUAAUAUAUUGAACCGCAUGGUUCAAUAGUGAAAGACGGUUUUGCUGUCACUUAUAGAUGGAUCCGCGCCGCAUUAGCUAGUUGGUAAGGUAACGGCUUACCAAGGCAACGAUGCGUAGCCGACCUGAGAGGGUGAUCGGCCACACUGGAACUGAGACACGGUCCAGACUCCUACGGGAGGCAGCAGUAGGGAAUCUUCCGCAAUGGGCGAAAGCCUGACGAAGCAACGCCGCGUGAGUGAUGAAGGUCUUCGGAUCGUAAAACUCUGUUAUUGGGGAAGAACAAAUGUGUAAGUAACUAUGCACGUCUUGACGGUACCUAAUCAGAAAGCCACGGCUAACUACGUG